ACAGGGAUCAGUCGGGUGAGCAUCUCCGACACGGUAACAACUCCAUAUUUCGUCGUAAUAUCAGUUCGCAAUCAUGGGUAAAUGUUCAUUUUUAUUUCGAGUCGUAAAUCUAUUCUAUCUUGUUAUUAGUUGUUGAUACGACUAGUUACCUUCGAAAAAUAAUUUCCUAUUGUUUAUUGCAUAGUUAAUUAUGGCAUUGUGUUGCUGUUGGGUGUUGUAUCGUUGAUGUCGACCACGAGAGAAAAUCUUUCAAAAGGAAAGAGAAAAGGCAACAGAAGUCCAUCGAGUGAGCAUCUCCGACCCGGCAACAACUGCAUUCUUCGUCGUAUUACCAGGUCGCAAUCACGGUUAACUAUGCCGUCAUGCUGCUAUUGGUUGUUGUAUCGUCGAUGUCUGGGUCGACCACUGGUGUACCGACGUCUCCUGGAUAAGGCGGAUACCAAACCGAAACGCCACCACCUUAUUACUCAACAACAUACGCAACGACCAGAUACUACACCGAGGUUGCACUGUUGGGUUUACAGUUAAAUCAAAACGGAUCGAGAUUAUUACACCACAACUUGUGCUGCUCCUCGAGCUACACUACCAAAGCGCUAGAGUACUACACCGAGGCACCUACUGAGACUACGCAACUACGUAUGCUGCCCCAACCUACGACACCGAGGCUCCAGCUUAUUACAUUACCAAAGCUGUCGAAUUCUACACUGGAUCGCCCAAGUACGACAGAAAUCACCAACACGGCAGCCCCGAAGUUUCGAAUAAACUUCGUUUCAAACAGUAUAACGGCAAAGAGUGAAGACAAAUUCGACUGCAAUCGCGUCGAAUUCAAUAGCAAAGAUAACACAUUCGUACGUGUACACCGCGCCGUUAAACUUGACAUUGUCGGUCGGCAAGCCGCACUUGACGAUGGCCGUACCAUCACCUACGACAAGUGCUUUAUUGUCACAGGUGUUAAACGAAAAUCUUUUCCAAUCCCUGAGCGGUGCCCUUAAAGAUGCCCACGAGCACGUAGCGCUGUUCCGCAACAUCGAUGGCGGUAACAUAGGUCGAGUUCUCCGUUCUCCUAAAUAUUUGAGCCAAUGGACAACCGAGAAGGGGAAAGUGGAAAGUGUUAAUGUGUUGCCCAAAGCCAAUGUUGAGGGUGCAAUUUUGGAAGAUUACAAGGUCGCAUUGACCUUGAACAAUUGUCAAAAGAUUUAAACUGACCAUGUCGUCGCUGCAUGUCGGUUGGGACGCAAACACGGAUUUGUCUGUUGCUUUUGGUUUGGAAAUAGAGGAGAGGAGAUUUUGGUGGUUAUCGAGUCAAUACCGAGCUUGAAGCACGAUCGAACGUUUGGUUGGCUGGAGAUGUUACGUUCUUUUGUGAUAUCAAAUUGGGUCGCUGUUGUGUGGAACAUUAUCACCAUGCUGUUGUAUCAGGGCGAUUAGCUGGAGAGAACAAUACUGGCAAAGAAACAUGGAUGAAAAACUGCAGUGCACUGUUACCAAGUGCAUUCUUCGUCGUAUUAUCAGUACGCAAUCGGUUGAUUGUGAUGUCGUGAUGUUACCGUUUGCCGUAUCGUGGAAGGCUGGGUCGAUCACUGGUGUACCGAUGUCUCCUGGGUAUGGCGGAUACCUAAGCACCACGCCGCCACCUUACUACACAACGACAACAUUCGCAAGAACCGGUUACUACACCGAGGCACACAAUUACUACACCACCAAGGCUCCAGAGUAUUACACCGCAGCUGAUGCUGCCCCGAGUUACAUCAUCAAACGUACUACACCGAGGCUCCAACUUAUUACACCACCAAAGCGGCUGAAUACUACACCGAGCCGCCCAAGUACUACACCAACAAGGCUCCAGAGUAUUACACCACAACUUGUGCUUCCCCGAGCCGCUACACCGAAGCCCCGAAGUAUUACUCUGCCCUAAGCUACACAACUACAACUGAGGCGACCAAGUACUACGCAGCCCCAAAUUACUACACAGCGGCUGCUCCUUCGUACUACGUUGAAUUGGAAUACUACACCUAGGCUUCAGUUUACUACACCACAACCUACGCUACACCUAGAUACUACACCGAGGCCCUUAUGUACUACACUACCAAGGCACCUGAGUAUUAUAACACUACUUACGCUGCUCCGACCAACUACACCGAAGCUCCGAAGUAUUACUCUAUCCCGAGUUACAACACCACUAAGGCACCUGAAUAUUACACCACACCUUCCGCUUCUCCAACUUACUACAGGGACGUUCCUAAAUAUUAUAACUAUGUUCAGAUUUGUCGGUCAUAUCUUAAUAGUUACUAGUCACUGGGAAUUGUUGAACUUUAAUAGGGAAAUCAAUUUUUUUUUAACCUGGGUGAUCAUUGUGUACGACUUCUCUUGCCACCUAAAAGCCCUAAGACAUUGCGACGUUUUCUUGUAUUUUUUGGAUCUUUCCUAUUUCGCAUGUUGGAGGUGACCUAUUGCUCUAAUCGCUCUGUAUUCCGACAUAUUCUAGUGUUUGAAAAAACUUCAUUUACAGGGCAAGUAACGAAAGAGACAUACUGUGGUGUUUACUAAAAAUUGUUGAUGUUACCAGCUCUGUUUUUAACAUUAAUUGGUGUAACAAAUGAGUUGCAGAUAGUGUAUGGUUUAUCACAUAAGUUUAUUUGAAGGGUCUGGAGUUGAUCAGUCUAUUGCCUAUAACUUAUGUAAAACUUUAAAGUUGUAAAAAAUAUACAAAUCUGAACUAAA